rnacentral:rRNA from 1 species
CCUACGGGUAGCCGCAGUGGGGAAUAUUGGACAAUGUGGGAAACCCUGAUCCAGCGACGCCGCUUGCGUGAAGACGUAUUUCGGUACGUACAGCUCUAUCAGCAUGAAAGAAAAUGACGGUACCUGACUAAGAAUCCCCGGCUAACUACUUGCCAGCAGCCGCGGUAAUACGUAGGGGGCAAGCGUUAUCCGGCUUUACUGGGUGUAAAGGGAGCGUAGACGGCAGCGCAAGUCUGGAGUGAAAUGCCGGGGCCCAACCCCGGAGCUGCUCUGGAAACUGUGAAGCUGGAGUGCAGGAGAGGUAAGCGGAAGUCCGGGUGUAGCGGUGAAAUGCGGAGAUAUCAGGAGGAAAACCGGCGGCGAAGGCGGCUUACUGGACUGUAACUGACGUUGAGGCUCGAAGGCGUGGGGAGCAAACAGGAUUAGAUACCCUUGUAGUC